AACGAACGCUGGCGGCAGGCCUAACACAUGCAAGUCGAGCGCGCCCAUCGGGGUGAGCGGCGGACGGGUGUGUCACGUGUGGGAACGUUCCCUUUUAUACGGAAUACCCCCGGGACACGGAGAGUAAUACCGGAUAAGCUCUGUUGGGGCAAGAUUGAUCGGAAGAGGUUCGGCCCGCGUUGGUUUAGGUUGUUGGUGGGGUAAUGGCCUACCACGGAGUCGCUCCAUAGCUGGUUACAGAGGCAGGGCAGCCACUCUGGGACGAGGACACGGCCCGGAAUCCUACGGGAGGCGGCAGAGGGGGAUCUUAGAAAACGGCGGCAGCCAUGAAGGAGCCAUGCCGCGUAAGUGAUGAAGGCCUUAGAGAAGUAAAGCUCUUUAAGCUGGGAAGAUAAUGACGGUACCAGCAGAAGAAGCCCCGGCUAACUCCGUG
rnacentral:rRNA from 1 species